rnacentral:rRNA from 1 species
UACGGGGGGAGCAAGCGUUGUUCGGAUUUACUGGGCGUAAAGGGCGCGUAGGCGGUCAGCACAAGUCAGUUGUGAAAUCUCCGGGCUUAACUCGGAAAGGUCAACUGAUACUGUGCGACUAGAGUGCAGAAGGGGCAACUGGAAUUCUCGGUGUAGCGGUGUAAUGCGUAGAUAUCGAGAGGAACACCUGCGGCGAAGGCGGGUUGCUGGGCUGACACUGACGCUGAUGCGCGAAAGCCAGGGGAGCGAACGGG